rnacentral:rRNA from 1 species
AGUGAACGCUGGCGGUAGGCCUAACACAUGCAAGUCGAACGGCAGCACAGUAAGAGCUGGCUCUUACGGGUGGCGAGUGGCGGACGGGUGAGGAAUACAUCGGAAUCUACUUUUUCGUGGGGGAUAACGUAGGGAAACUUACGCUAAUACCGCAUACGACCUACGGGUGAAAGCAGGGGAUCUUCGGACCUUGCGCGAGGGAAUGAGCCGAUGUCGGAUUAGCUAGUUGGCGGGGUAAAGGCCCACCAAGGCGACGAUCCGUAGCUGGUCUGAGAGGAUGAUCCGCCACCCUGGAACUGAGACACGGUCCACACUCCUACGGGAGGCAGCAGUGCGGAAUCUUGGACAAUGGGCGCAAGCCUGAUCCAGCCAUACCGCGUGGGUGCAGAUGGCCUUCGGGUUGUAAAGCCCUUUUGUCGGGAAAGAAAAGCAGCUCGUUUACCCCCCGCUGUUCUGACGGUACCCAAAGAAUAAGCACCGGCUAACUUCGUG